GGAACACCGAUGGCGAAGNCAGAUCUCUUGGCCGUAACCGACGCUGAGGAGCGAAAGGGUGGGGAGCAAACAGGCUUAGAUACCCUGGUAGUCCACCCCCGUAAACGUUUGGGAACUAGUUGUGGGGUCCAUUCCACGGAUUCCGUGACGCAGCUAACGCAUUAAGUUCCCCCGCCUGGGGAGUACGGCCGCAAGGCUAAAACUCAAAGGAAUUGACCGGGGACCCGCACAAGCGGCGGAGCAUGCGGAUUAAUUCGAUGCAACGCGAAGAACCUUACCAAGGCUUGACAUAUACGAGAACGGGCCAGAAAUGGUCAACUCUUUGGACACUCGUAAACAGGUGGUGCAUGGUUGUCGUCAGCUCGUGUCGUGAGAUGAUGGGUUAAGUCCCGCAACGAGCGCAACCCUCGUUGUAUGUUGCCAGCACGUAAUGGUGGGAACUCAUGGGAUACUGCCGGGGUCAACUCGGAGGAAGGUGGGGAUGACGUCAAAUCAUCAUGCCCCUUAUGUCUUGGGCUUCACGCAUGCUACAAUGGCCGGUACAAAGGGCUGCAAUACCGCGAGGUGGAGCGAAUCCCAAAAAGCCGGUCCCAGUUCGGAUUGAGGUCUGCAACUCGACCUCAUGAAGUCGGAGUCGCUAGUAAUCGCAGA
rnacentral:rRNA from 1 species